CCUACAUAAAAAAAUAAAAAAUGACAUAGAACAUAAUACAAAUGAUAUUAGAUCGGAAAUUUCCAUUCUUUCUGAGAAACUCUCAAGUCAGGCAAUUAUAGUACAAAAAGUUCAAGACGAUUAUGAACAUAUCAAAUUAUCUAAUGCACAAUUAGAGAAGAAACUGCAAGACAUUGAGAAUAGAAUUACAAAUUUUGAAGAUCGCUCCAGG